UGAACGCUGGCGGCAUGCCUUACACAUGCAAGUCGAACGGCAGCGCGGGGCAACCUGGCGGCGAGUGGCGAACGGGUGAGUAAUAUAUCGGAACGUGCCCUGGAGUGGGGGAUAACGCAGCGAAAGUUGCGCUAAUACCGCAUACGAUCUAAGGAUGAAAGCAGGGGACCGCAAGGCCUUGUGCUCCUGGAGCGGCCGAUAUCUGAUUAGCUAGUUGGUGGGGUAAAGGCCUACCAAGGCAUCGAUCAGUAGCUGGUCUGAGAGGACGACCAGCCACACUGGAACUGAGACACGGUCCAGACUCCUACGGGAGGCAGCAGUGGGGAAUUUUGGACAAUGGGCGCAAGCCUGAUCCAGCAAUGCCGCGUGAGUGAAGAAGGCCUUCGGGUUGUAAAGCUCCUUUGUCAGGGAAGAAACGGUAUGGGCUAAUAUCCCGUACUAAUGACGGUACCUGAAGAAUAAGCACCGGCUAACUACGUGCCAGCAGCCGCGGUAAUACGUAGGGUGCAAGCGUUAAUCGGAAUUACUGGGCGUAAAGCGUGCGCAGGCGGUUUUGUAAGUCUGUCGUGAAAUCCCCGGGCUCAACCUGGGAAUUGCGAUGGAGACUGCAAGGCUAGAAUCUGGCAGAGGGGGGUAGAAUUCCACGUGUAGCAGUGAAAUGCGUAGAGAUGUGGAGGAACACCGAUGGCGAAGGCACCCCCUGGGUCAAGAUUGACGCUCAUGCACGAAAGCGUGGGG
rnacentral:rRNA from 1 species